rnacentral:rRNA from 1 species
AUUGAACGCUGGCGGCAUGCCUUACACAUGCAAGUCGAACGGCAGCGGGGGAGAAGCUUGCUUUUCCUGCCGGCGAGUGGCGAACGGGUGAGUAAUACAUCGGAACGUGCCCUGUAGUGGGGGAUAACUAGUCGAAAGGUUAGCUAAUACCGCAUACGACCUGAGGGUGAAAGUGGGGGACCGCAAGGCCUCAUGCUAUAGGAGCAGCCGAUGUCUGAUUAGCUAGUUGGUGGGGUAAAGGCCUACCAAGGCGACGAUCAGUAGCUGGUCUGAGAGGACGAUCAGCCAGACUGGGACUGAGACACGGCCCAGACUCCGACGGGAGGCAGCAGGGGGGAAUUUUGGACAAUGGGCGAAAGCCUCAUCCAGCAAUGCCGGGUGUGGGAAGAAGGCCUUCGGUUUGUAAAGCACUUUUGUCCGGAAAGAAAUGGCUCUGGUUAAUACCUGGGGUCGAUGACGGUACCGGAAGAAUAAGGACCGGCUAACUACGUGCCAGCAGCCGCCGUAA